CCCUCUUUUGCAUUUAUUUCUUAUAUUCCUACUCAUUUUCAUUUUCAAUGUUGGCAAAACCUAACAUUUUUUAAUCUUCCUCUUUUAGAACUCCGGAAAAAUAAUUUCACUCUACGAUGCUCACGACUCUUUGUAAUCAAUUCCACACUUUUUCGAUUGAGAAUCUUUGAAUUGCAACAUUCAAUUGGUGUAUUUGGAGGUUCUACGGUGUUUGUGUCGCGAGUUCACGACUGCUGCUCCAGUGAAGUUGUCGUGGUUCGAAGCUACUUCGAAUGUCCACAACGUGUUUCAUGUUCACACCUUUAAGUGUUCGCAGCUACUUCGUAGCUUCGUCGUUGCUUCGAAGGUACGCGACUACUUUAAUGAUUCACGAUUGCUUCAAUUUCACGGGUGUAGCUUUCCCUUCCAGAAUCACGGUUUAUCUCUGUUUUCUCUCCCUUGUAUAAUUGUAGUUUUGUUUUUGUAUUUGUGCUAACAUUGAUUUAUCUCUUCCAAAAUCAUUCACCAUUCUGUUUUUAUAUUUGUACUAACACUGAUUUUUAUCUGUUUUGAGGUUUGAUAAAGUUUUCAGUAACUUUGGAAUGGAGUACUGAUUGGUUCAAAGGUGUAAAACUAGAACCUCAGUUUUAGAUGGCGUUUUUGUUCAAUGCACCAUCCAAAAAUAUUUUACCAUAAGCGAAUCAAAAUGCCUUGUUGUUUCUCCCUAAGCCACCUUUCAAGUUUUCUCAACUAUGUCAAUCAUCAGUCUUUUUAUCUGUUCAGUUUGUUCUUAAGUGCUUUGAUAAAUUGCCAAGUCUCUUAGAAUAUCAUGUUGGAUGACAAAACGGUUAUUUUAGUACUAAUUGUCUUUGUCACUUGUAUUUUUCCAAAUAAAUUAGCAGAAGUUAGGUUCUCUCACAAGAAAAAUAAAUAAAUGCUCUCAAAUUAGUUCAUACCAAGAAAUGCAGAGUUACAUAAUGCAAGAGGUUUAAAGUCUCAAGUUAAUUGGUAACUUUGGAUAAUUGGUAAGGAAUCAACUUUUCUAUUCAUGAGCUAAGAAGCUAUUGAAAUAUUUGGUGUAUAAAGUAUAUAUAGGAUAAAUAUUAAUCUUAGUAUUAUAAUCCUAUAAAAAAUAUUAAGUUCUUUAGAGCAUUUCAUUCACUUUACAUCUAAAAUUUGUAUACUUUUCCAUUUGCCUUUGUAGACAUAUAUCAUUUGUUAUAACUUUCACAUUGCCAAUUGUAUACAGUUUCAGAAUGCUCUUAAUGGCGAUCCAAAAGAUUCACUAGAAAAUUUUAUUCUCUAUGUUCAUCUUUUGCUCCUGGAGUUAUGAAUCCUCACUCUAGAUUCAUACAACAUUGGAACAAGGUUCUUGCCGAUUUUUUUGCUUGGUUGCAAUUUUUGUGAAUCCAUUAUUUUCUUUUUACUUUAUGUUUGGCAGGUAGGAGUUAUAUAUUUGUUUUCCUUUUAUUCAGUCACACAAAUUUCAUAAGUUCUAAUGACAUAUCUUUCCCUACAAUAGUAAAAAUUAAAUUUUCAUUUCUUUGGUGUAGAAUCAUAAUUGUGUAGUAUGAACUCGAAAUUGACAAAAACACUUAUUAUAGUUAGAAGCAUGAAUGACUUCAUAUAUUUCCUUCACAUUAUUCUCCAGGUAACUUCCCAUAACCAUCUUUUUAGAAGUCCCAUUUCUUUAACUUUUUUCAUAUCUAGAUAUUCAUAGAAUAAAAGUUCUUAUUUGGGUCCCCUUCAUGCCACUGCUUCCAAAAUUUAUUUAUCAUUAUUCUUAUAAUUCUAAUAGAUUAUAAAUCCAAAAUUACUUUCCAUUUAUUAAUUAUUUAGUACUAAAAAAAUUAUAAACCCUUUCUCCUUCUCCCUUAUCACCACUUAUAGUUACCUUUUACAGUUCUGAAACAUGAGGUUUGAUCUAAAUGGUGUAGGUGUAGCUAAUUAUUAUAUAACUUAAUGAGUUGGCUAUUAUAUUGUUAUUUGUAUCAUUCCAACAGUUGAAAGUUAUUGUUAAUUGAUUUAUCAAUGUCUACUAGUGAUUGUGGUGGAUUAUUAUUCAUAAGUAUAUUUCAUUCACCAUUAUUUCAAAUGAAACCAAAGAUUCCCAACAAAGGUUUGCUAUUAGACACAAAUCAAAACACCCAAUGGAGUUUGGCUCAUGUAACAUGCGUUACUUUUUUUUCCUUUUCUUUCUUUUUAUUCACUCCUUCACUCAACAUAACAUUUUAAAGUUACUUGAAUUAAGUUUCAAAUUUAUAAACACAUGAAUUAAUUAACCUUUAAUUGAUCCUUCAAAUAAUAUCUAAUAAUAUAAUUUAACCCAUAAGUAGUGUAGUAAUCAACUUUAUAUAUCUAUUAUUGGGAGUUGUUGUUGAUCACUAUGGUAGAAGCAUGUAAUGUUUACAGGGAUUGUGAUGGUGAACGUAUAUAUGUCAAUGGAUUGGUGCUUUCUUUAAGUUAUUUGUUCAACUUCCUAUAAUUCUCAAUGCUUACUUGAUUUUAGUGUCAUUUUCAAUAUACUAUUUGGCCUUAGCACUAGUUUUUGGAUGGCUGUUACUACGAGAUUUCUUCUUGGAAGAUUAAAUGGUAUGCUUGGACCAGUGAAGGGUCGAAGAUUAUGCGAGUAAAGUUAAACUACGCGUGGCAGUGGAAGAAUUCAAAGUUGGCUUAUGUACAUCUUGCGCUCAAUGUUCAUCUUCAUCUUGACUUUAUCUAAAGUGCUAGUCAAGCUUGGUAGAAGACAAGAUGUGUACUUGAAUUUGCUAGUUUUUCUUAACUUAAUAUUAUACUUGAAUUUGAAUUUUAA